CCUACGUGGUGCAGCAGUGGGGAAUAUUGCGCAAUGGGCGAAAGCCUGACGCAGCGACGCCGCGUGAGGGAUGAAGGUCUUCGGAUCGUAAACCUCUGUCAGCAGGGAAGAACGGUCACUGUGCUAAUCAGCAGUGAAUUGACGGUACCUGCAAAGGAAGCACCGUCUAACUCCGUGCCAGCAGCCGCGGUAAUACGGAGGGUGCGAGCGUUAAUCGGAAUUACUGGGCGUAAAGCGCUCGUAGGCGGUAUGGCAAGUCAAGGGUGAAGUCCCCGCGCUCAACGUGGGAACUGCCUUUGAAACUGGCAAACUGGAGUGUGUGAGAGGAUAGUGGAAUUCCAGGUGUAGGAGUGAAAUCCGUAGAUAUCUGGAGGAACAUCAGUGGCGAAGGCGACUAUCUGGCACAUAACUGACGCUGAGGAGCGAAAGCGUGGGUAGCAAACAGGAUUAGAUACCCUUGUAGUC
rnacentral:rRNA from 1 species